AAGGAGGGCUUCCGCCCGGGUGAGCGCGGGGCUGCUGGGUGACCCGGCUCCUGCUUGCCCCGCAGCCCCGGCCCCCUGCCCACCAUGAACGCCAGCGGUUCUGGCUACCCGCUUGCCUCGCUUUACGUGGGCGAUCUGCACCCCGACGUGACCGAGGCCAUGCUCUAUGAGAAGUUCUCUCCCGCCGGCCCCAUCCUGUCCAUCCGCGUGUGCCGCGAUGUAGCCACCCGGCGCUCGCUGGGCUACGCCUACAUCAACUUCCAGCAGCCCGCGGACGCGGAGCGGGCACUGGACACAAUGAACUUUGAGAUGCUCAAAGGCCAGCCUAUUCGCAUCAUGUGGUCCCAGCGAGACCCAGGACUUCGCAAGUCAGGUGUGGGCAACAUCUUCAUCAAGAACCUGGAGGACUCCAUUGACAACAAGGCUUUAUAUGAUACCUUCUCCACCUUUGGGAACAUCCUCUCUUGCAAGGUGGCGUGUGACGAGCAUGGCUCCCGGGGUUUCGGCUUUGUCCAUUUUGAGACCCAUGAGGCCGCACAGCAGGCCAUCAACACCAUGAAUGGGAUGCUGCUGAAUGACCGCAAAGUCUUUGUGGGUCACUUCAAGUCUCGACGGGAGCGGGAGGCGGAGCUGGGGGCGCGGGCCCUGGAGUUCACCAACAUCUACGUGAAGAACCUCCCGGUGGAUGUGGACGAGCAAGGCCUGCAGGACCUCUUCUCCCAGUUUGGGAAAAUGCUGAGUGUGAAGGUGAUGAGGGACAACAGCGGCCACUCGCGGUGCUUUGGCUUUGUCAACUUUGAGAAGCAUGAGGAAGCCCAGAAGGCCGUGGUCCAUAUGAACGGGAAGGAGGUGAGCGGGCGGCUGCUGUACGCGGGCCGGGCCCAAAAGCGCGUGGAGCGGCAGAAUGAACUGAAGCGCAGGUUUGAGCAGAUGAAGCAGGACCGGCUGAGGCGUUACCAGGGUGUGAACUUGUAUGUGAAGAAUCUGGACGACUCCAUUGAUGACGACAAACUGAGGAAAGAGUUCUCUCCCUAUGGAGUAAUUACCAGUGCGAAGAAGAGGCGACAAAGGCCGUGACAGAGAUGAACGGGCGCAUCGUGGGCACCAAGCCACUCUACGUGGCACUGGCCCAGCGCAAAGAGGAGCGGAAGGCCAUCUUGACCAACCAGUACAUGCAGCGCCUCUCCACCAUGCGGACCCUGAGCAACCCCCUCCUGGGCUCCUUUCAGCAGCCCUCCAGCUACUUCCUGCCUGCCAUGCCCCAGGUGACGGCCUGCCCGCAACUCCCACCGCAGCCUUCCCCCCUGCCCCAGCAAGGCAGAGCAUGAAGACUAGAGUUCUAGGGAAAUGGAGGUUUCUAACUUGCUUCUGCCGAGGACUCAUUAGGAAGUCUUUGUUUCCCUCUCUAUAAAAGGGAGAGAUAGUGUUAGUCAAAUGGCAUUUCCCAGUGAGAGAAGCUCGUGAAUGUUGUGCUGAAAAAGACUCUUAAUGAUCCAGCAAGUUUGGGAAAUGCUGCGUUAAGCAAGACCUACAUUUUUCCUUCCUCCCUUCCUUCCCUUCCCUCCCUUCCCUCCCUUCCCUCCCUUCCCUUCCCUUCCCUUCCCUCCCUCCCUCCCUCCCUCCCUCCCUUCCUUCCUUCCUUCCUUCGUGGGGUCUCCAUGUCACCCAGGCUGGUGAGCAAUGGCGUGAUCAUGGCUCCUUCCUUCUUCCCUCCCUUCCUCCCUUCCUCCCUUCCUUCACGGGGUCUCCAUGUCACCCAGGCUGGAGAGCAAUGGCAUGAUCAUGGCUCACUGCAGCCUUGAAUUCCUGGGCUUGAGUGAUCCUCCCACUGUAGCCUCCUGAGUAGGUGGGACUACAGGUGUGUGCCACCAUGCCCAGCUAAUUUUUUUGUUUAUUUUAAAGAAGGGGUCUCGCCAUGUUGCCCAGGCUGGUCUCAAACUCCUGGGCUCAAGCAAUUCUCCUGCCUUGGCCUCCCAAAGUGCUGGCAUUACAGGAGUAAGCCACCGUCCCCCGCCCUACAUUUUUUUAAAAAUUAAAUUUUUAUUUUUUUGGAGACAGAGUCUUGCUCUGUUGCCCAGAAUGGAGUGCAGUGACACCAUCUUGGCUCGCUGCAAACUCUUCCUCCUGGGUUCAAGUGAUUCUUGUGCCUCAGCCUCCCGGGUAGCUGGGAUUACAGGUGCGUGCCACCACACUCAGCUAAUUUUUUGUAUUUUUAGUAGAGACGGGGUUUCACCAUGUUGGCCAGGCUGGUCUUGAACUCCUGACCUCAAGUGAUGUGCCCUCCUUGACCUCCUAAAGUGCUGGGAUUACAGGCAUGAGCCACCAUGAUCGGCCCUAAAUUUCUUUACUAUCUACACUAUUCUACCCUAAGAUGCCAAUGUCUACUGAGACUCUCCAAAACAGGCACAGAUUAUCCAGCAUUUCCCCAGCUUAGAUGGUCAUUUUUUUGUGGGAUGCCUGUUAACAUCUCCCCUGGAUGUUAAUGUUCUGAGGAGCAUGGUUUGGGAAAGGACCUCGUGGGACUUACAGGAAGUAGAAAGAUGUCACCCAUUAAAGGCCACCACGGUAAGAACAUUCCUCUCCUUUUAGCAGUUGCUUAAGCUGCACAAGUUGGAGUAAGAUGUCACCCUUUUUAUCCAGGUCAUUGGGUUAGCUGACAGGGAGCCAAGAUUGAAAUCUAAGAUCUUUGCCCUGCAGGAUUCAGGGCUAAUGGACAUCCUGAGAUGGGAGGAAGGAGCUUUCAUUACAGCCUUGUGGGUCUUGACUCACCAGUCCCUGCAGGAGCCAGUGGAGUUCCUGCCAUGGUGUCCCUGAGGAGGUGUAGCUUCUCACCUACCCUGCCGCCAAGCCCCUCAGUCUGGGUCUUCUUUUCCCAUGCAGCCUCCAGCCCAGGCUGCAUACUAUGGCUGUGGCCCAGUGACACCCACCCAGCCUGCCCCCAGGUGGACAUCCCAGCCACCUAGACCUUCCUGUGAGUGACCCAGCCCCUUCCACUCUCAGACUGGCCUAUUGGUGUGGGCCCCGUGAGGCAGUCAUAACACAGGGAUGAAACCUGGCUCUGCCACUUCCCAAGGUGGGUGACUUCACUUCUCUGAGCCUCAGUUUCCUCUUCUGAGCAUGGGCCUGAAUGAGACGUGUGUAAAGUACCAAGCACAGUGGUGAGCCAAUGGAAGACACGCAGCUAGCCACCAGCAGUCAUCACCAAAGAUGCCUCUGAUUUGUGACUCUGAAAAUUCUUGCAAAGCUGAGAAGGUGAAAUUCCUCUGGCUAUAUUGUUGACCAAAGGCCCUCCUCUGUAAGAGUGAAUUGCACGCUCACUUGAAACUAUCUUGAGGGACUAAGGUGUACAAUCCUGGUGCUUAUGCAGUUUGGGGCUCUAGGUAGACACGAGCUGGCUUUGAAAUUGUAGAUUCCUACACUCCCCCUUUCUGGAGUUCUGGGUCUAAGUGAAUUGACUCCUAUUUCUGUUGUGAAUGUUGUAGUUUCCCUUCCCAUUCUCUUGGUGGCCCUGGAAGCUUCUAGGCACAGUGUGCCACCCUGAUUAUUCCCACCACUCCAUCCAACUUUUCUCUCUCUGUGGUGUCUGCACCACAAGCUGCCUACCCUCCAGGUGCCUCAAUGGUCCGGCCACCAGUUGUGCCUCGGCGCCCCCCGGCCCACAUCAGCAGUGUCAGGCAGGCCUCCACCCAGGUGCCACGCACGGUGCCUCAUACCCAGAGAGUAGCCAACAUUGGUACUCAGACCACAGGACCCAGUGGGGUAGGAUGCUGUACACCAGGCCGGCCGCUCCUGCCGUGCAAAUGUUCCUCAGCAGCACAUAGCACCUAUCGGGUCCAGGAGCCGGCUGUGCACAUCCCAGGACAGGAGCCCCUGACCGCGUCCAUGCUGGCUGCGGCGCCCCUGCAUGAGCAAAAGCAGAUGAUUGGCACCUGUUAUCUUGUCUUAAAACGCUGGUCAGACUGGAUGGUCCUGAGCUUUCUUCCACUGCUGCUGUCCUGUGACUUUGAGGGGAGCGUCUCUACCCCCUUAUCCAUGAUGUCCACACCCAGCUGGCUGGCAAGAUCACGGGCAUGCUGCUGGAGAUUGACAACUCAGAGCUGUUGCUCAUGCUGGAGUCUCCAGAAUCCCUCCAUGCCAAGAUAGACGAGGCAGUGGCCGUGCUGCAGGCACACCAGGCUAUGGAGCAGCCGAAGGCGUACAUGCACUGAAACCAGAAAAGGAAAUCCUCGCUUCCAUGGCUGCCAAAAGGACAGUGUUUCUGGCUCUCAGCCCUAAGGCCCUGCAAACUCUAACUUAUUUCCCAAUUAGUCUGUAUCUAUACUUGGGCUCUGUAUGUGAAUGAAGGUUGGUCACCCAUCCAGCCUAUUACCUUUUGCUUUGUGUAUUAAAAGUGCUGCAAAAUCUG